GUGCACCAGGCGCGAAAACUUCACAAUGUGCGAAAGCACGAUGAGGGAAUCCCAAGUGCUUGCUCGUAAGAGUAAGCUGUUUCUCUGUCUAAAACGCAGAGAGAGUAAGGGCUGGGUAAGACGGGUGCCAGCCGCCGCGGUAAUACCUGCAGCUCGAGUGGUGGCCGCUAUUAUUGGGCCUAAAACGUCCGUAGCCGGUUUAUUAAAUGCCUGGGUAAAUCGGACCGCUUAACGGUUCGAAUUCCGGGUAGACCGAUAAACUUGAGACCGGGAGAAGCUAGAGGUACUCCUGGGGUAGAGGUGAAAUUCUGUAAUCCUAGGGGGACCACCAGUGGCGAAGGCGUCUAGCUAGAACGGGUCUGACGGUGAGGGACGAAGCCCUGGGGCGCAAACGGGGAUUAGAUACCCGUGUAGU
rnacentral:rRNA from 1 species